AAUAGAUACCCAGGUAGUCCACGCCGUAAACGAUGAGUGCUAAGUGUUAGAGGGUUUCCGCCCUUUAGUGCUGCAGCUAACGCAUUAAGCACUCCGCCUGGGGAGUACGGUCGCAAGACUGAAACUCAAAGGAAUUGACGGGGGCCCGCACAAGCGGUGGAACAUGUGGUUUAAUUCGAAGCAACGCGAAGAACCUUACCAGGUCUUGACAUCCCACUGACCGGUAUAGAGAUAUACCUUUCCCUUCGGGGACAGUGGUGACAGGUGGUGCAUGGUUGUCGUCAGCUCGUGUCGUGAGAUGUUGGGUUAAGUCCCGCAACGAGCGCAACCCUUGAUCUUAGUUGCCAGCAUUUAGUUGGGCACUCUAAGGUGACUGCCGGUGACAAACCGAAGGAAGGUGGGGAUGACGUCAAAUCAUCAUGCCCCUUAUGACCUGGGCUACACACGUGCUACAAUGGAUGGUACAAAGGGCUGCAAGACUGCGAAGUCAAGCCAAUCCCAUAAAACCAUUCUCAGUUCGGAUUGCAGG
rnacentral:rRNA from 1 species